UCUCCAGGCAGCCGCGACACUCUUCACCCCACGAGGCUAAGAUGUUCCUCAGCUCCAACACCCUCAGCUUCUGCAGUGACUCGCUGCUCAGGUCCUUCAGCCGAGGCUCUGUGUGCAGGAAACGCAACACAAAUCUCUCAGACAUUCAGACAUUUGGUCGUUGUUGUUGUUGUUGUUGUUGUUACCGUAUCUGAGCUGACAGAUCUGAGUGUCUCUGCUGCUGAGCCGCUGACAGAUCUUCUCCACGGGGACGUGGGAGGCCAGCGGUCUGGACACGGAGGCUGUGACCCGUGUUGCUGCGUCACUGCUGGCUCCCAGGUAAGACACGGAAUCGAACGUCUCCUCACCAGCCGGGCCUCUUUGCCCUGGGCCACCGUGCAGCUCCGCUCCAGCUCCUCCUCCACCAGGGCAGGGGUCAGAUCAGUGUGGGCCACGUUCAGGCUGUCGUACAGCCUACGGAGAAAACUCUCACACACUGUGGAGUCACACCACGUCACAGAUCAGUAGCAAAGACAGGACGGACUUUUCUUUGGACCGAAAAUAAAUAAAAAGUGUUACAUUUAAUCUACCAGAAUAAUAACUGAAAUUUAAUUAAAUAACUUAUUAAAUUAUUAUGUUGAAAUUUUUCAUUUAAAACCUAAAUCACCAAGAGUUUGAAAAGAUUAAGACACAGAAUAAAAAAGGGAAGUGGCUCUCAUAUUUCCGGAAGUGACGUACAUAUAACAUAAAAGCGGCUCGAGGUACUUAUAGCAUUAUAGCGUUUACAACCAAUAAAAAGUAUGUACUUUU